CCUANGGGAGGCAGCAACUGGGAAUCUUGCGCAAUGGACGAAAGUCUGACGCAGCGACUCCGCGUGGAGGAUGACGGCCUUAGGGUUGUAAACUCCUUUUGACUGGGAAGUCCUGAUAGCAAUAUCGGGGGACGGUACCAGUAGAAUAAGCAUCUGCUAACCACGUGCCAGCAGCCGCGGUAAUACGUGGGAUGCAAGCGUUAUCCGGAUUUACUGGGCGUAAAGAGUUCGUAGGCGUUUUGCUAAGUUUCGUUUGAAAGACCAAGGCUCAACUUUGGAAACGGACGAAAUACUAGCAGAAUCGAGUCGAUUAGGGGGUACUGGAACUGUCAGUGUAGCAGUGAAAUGCGUUGAUAUUGAUAGGAACACCAAGGGCGAAGGCAGGUACCUGGGAUCGUACUGACGCUGAGGAACGAAAGCUAGGGGAGCGAAAGGGAUUAGAUACCCGANUANUC
rnacentral:rRNA from 1 species